rnacentral:rRNA from 1 species
AACGAACGCUGGCGGCAUGCCUAACACAUGCAAGUCGAACGAGACCUUCGGGUCUAGUGGCGCACGGGUGCGUAACACGUGGGAAUCUGCCCUUCGGUUCGGAAUAACAGUUAGAAAUGACUGCUAAUACCGGAUAAUGACGUAAGUCCAAAGAUUUAUCGCCGAAGGAUGAGCCCGCGUAGGAUUAGGUAGUUGGUGGGGUAAUGGCCUACCAAGCCGACGAUCCUUAGCUGGUCUGAGAGGAUGAUCAGCCACACUGGGACUGAGACACGGCCCAGACUCCUACGGGAGGCAGCAGUGGGGAAUAUUGGAUAAUGGGCGAAAGCUUGAUCCAGCAAUGCCGCGUGAGUGAUGAAGGCCUUAGGGUUGUAAAGCUCUUUUACCCAGGAUAAUAAUGACAGUACCGGGAGAAUAAGCUCCGGCUAACUCCGUGCCAGCCGCCGCCGUAAGAC